AGCGUAGACGGCAAGGCAAGUCUGAUGUGAAAACCCCAGGGCUUAACCCUGGGACUGCAUUGGAAACUGUCUGGCUCGAGUGCCGGAGAGGUAAGCGGAAUUCCUAGUGUAGCGGUGAAAUGCGUAGAUAUUAGGAAGAACACCAGUGGCGAAGGCGGCUUACUGGACGGUAACUGACGUUGAGGCUCGAAAGCGUGGGGAGCAAACA
rnacentral:rRNA from 1 species